rnacentral:misc_RNA from 1 species
GAUGAAGAACGCAGCGAAAUGCGAUAACUAAUGUGAAUUGCAGAAUUCCGUGAAUCAUCGAGUCUUUGAACGCACAUUGCGCCCCCUGGUAUUCCGGGGGGCAUGCCUGUCCGAGCGUCAUUGCUGCCCAUCAAGCACGGCUUGUGUGUUGGGUCCUCGUCCCCCCCGGGGGACGUGUCCGAAAGGCAGCGGCGGCACCGCGUCCGGUCCUCGAGCGUAUGGGGCUUUGUCACCCGCUCUGCAGGCCCGGCCGGCGCUGGCCGACGCGAAAGCAACCAUUUUUUCUCCAGGUUGACCUCGGAUCAGGUAGGGAUACCCGCUGAACUUAAGCAUAUCAAUAAGCGGAGGA